rnacentral:rRNA from 1 species
AUUGAACGCUGGCGGCAUGCUUUACACAUGCAAGUCGAACGGUAACAGGCCGCAAGGUGCUGACGAGUGGCGAACGGGUGAGUAAUGCAUCGGAACGUGCCCAGUCGUGGGGGAUAACGCAGCGAAAGCUGCGCUAAUACCGCAUACGAUCUAUGGAUGAAAGCGGGGGACCGUAAGGCCUCGCGCGAUUGGAGCGGCCGAUGUCAGAUUAGGUAGUUGGUGGGGUAAAGGCUCACCAAGCCAACGAUCUGUAGCUGGUCUGAGAGGACGACCAGGCACACUGGGACUGAGACACGGCCCAGAGUCCUACGGGAGGCAGCAGUGGGGAAUUUUGGACAAUGGGCGCAAGCCUGAUCCAGCAAUGCCGCGUGCAGGAAGAAGGCCUUCGGGUUGUAAACUGCUUUUGUACGGAACGAAACGGUCCUGGUUAAUACCUGGGGCUAAUGACGGUACCGUAAGAAUAAGCACCGGCUAACUACGUGCCAGCCGCCGCGGUAACAC